rnacentral:tRNA from 1 species
GUCACUAUAGCGCAACGGAUAGCGCGUUGGACUUCUAAUCCAAAGGUCGUGGGUUCAAAUCCCAGCUGGGAGGGCG